rnacentral:rRNA from 1 species
GACGAACGCUGGCGGCGUGCCUAACACAUGCAAGUCGAGCGGAGCUAGUAGCAAUAUUAGCUUAGCGGCGGACGGGUGAGUAACGCGUGGGCAACCUGCCUUCUACAGGGGGAUAACACAGGGAAACUUGUGCUAAUACCGCAUAACAUACUUAAGGGACAUCCCUUGGGUAUCAAAGGAGCAAUCCGGUAGAAGAUGGGCCCGCGUCCGAUUAGCUAGUUGGAGGUGUAACGGACCACCAAGGCGACGAUCGGUAGCCGAACUGAGAGGUUGAUCGGCCACAUUGGGACUGAGACACGGCCCAGACUCCUACGGGAGGCAGCAGUGGGGAAUAUUGCGCAAUGGGGAAAACCCUGACGCAGCAACGCCGCGUGAAGGAUGAAGGUCUUCGGAUUGUAAAAUUCUUUAGUCGGGGACGAAGAAAUGACGGUACCCGAAGAAUAAGCCACGGCUAACUACGUGCCAGCCGCCGCCGUAA